UCUGGGAGGCAUUCUGGUCAUAUGAUAUAAUGAUGAACUGGACCAAUUAAUUGUUAAUGACAGAGGUAAUGGGCCAUUAUCUCUUGAUUCUUAUUUUUCAGGUUACAUCUACUACAAUACUGCAGAUACAGUCUAACAUCGGUACUGCUGGAAUGAUUCCUCUCCCUUAUAAUCAGGAAGACAGCCUGGCUUGAUGUCAUGACUACAAGGGCCUAAAAACCCAGAUGGGAACUUUUGCCUUGAGGUUUUCUGAAGCUAAAGAUGCAUCACAUAGAUCUUGGUGUUUCAAUCUGAAGACAGGCAGUCUGUGUGAAUAAGGCCCCUGGAAAGCUUGCACCUGAGCCCCAAUGCUUGCCAUAGUAUCUUUCUCUUGCUGCACCUAUCCUUUGCCUUUAAAUAAAAGCCACACAGAAGAA